ensembl:lncRNA
GCAUGGGCAGUUAUGGAAGGCAUGGGCAGUUAUGGAAGACAUGGGCAGUUAUGGAAGGCAUGGGCAGUUAUGGAAGGCAUAGGCAGUUAUGGAAGGCAUGGGCAGUUAUGGAAGACAUGGGCAGUUAUGGAAGGCAUGGGCAGUUAUGGAAGGCAUGGGCAGUUAUGGAAGACAUGGGCAGUUAUGGAAGGCAUGGGCAGUUAUGGAAGGCAUGGGCAGUUAUGGAAGACAUGGGCAGUUAUGGAAGACAUGGGCAGUUAUGGAAGACAUGGGCAAUUAUGGAAGGCAUGGGCAG